rnacentral:rRNA from 1 species
AUGGCGUCCAGGACCUUCUCGGCGGCAUGCCUGCUGGCGCUGCUGGUGGCCAACACGUUCCUCGCCGGCGACGCGUGCGGCAGCUGCAAGCACAAAACCCCGCCGCCGGCCUCCCCGUCCCCGCCCCCACCAUCGCCGUCUACGACGCCGUGCCCACCGCCUUCGUCAGGCGGCGGCACGUCGUGCCCCACGGACACACUGAAGCUGGGCGCCUGCGCCAACGUGCUGGGCUUGGUGAACGUGGGCGUCGGCAAGCCCCCCAGCGGCGGCGGCGACAAGUGCUGCAGCCUCCUCGGCGGCCUGGCCGACCUCGAGGCCGCCGUGUGCCUCUGCACCGCGCUCAAGGCCAACGUCCUCGGCAUCGUCCUCAACAUCCCCGUCAAGCUCAGCCUCCUCCUCAACUACUGCGGCAAGACCGCCCCCAAGGGCUUCCAGUGCGCUUAA